UCCUUCUUAGCUCAGUUGGUUAGAGCAUCUGACUGUUAAUCAGAGGGUCGCUGGUUCAAGUCCAGCAGAAGGAGCAA
rnacentral:tRNA from 1 species